GACGAACGCUGGCGGCGUGCUUAACACAUGCAAGUCGAACGGAAAGGCCCUGCUUUUGUGGGGUGCUCGAGUGGCGAACGGGUGAGUAACACGUGAGUAACCUGCCCUUGACUUUGGGAUAACUUCAGGAAACUGGGGCUAAUACCGGAUAGGAGCCCCUGCUGCAUGGUGGGGGUUGGAAAGUUUCGGCGGUUGGGGAUGGACUCGCGGCUUAUCAGCUUGUUGGUGGGGUAGUGGCUUACCAAGGCUUUGACGGGUAGCCGGCCUGAGAGGGUGACCGGCCACAUUGGGCCUGAGAUACGGCCCAGACUCCUACGGGAGGCAGCAGUGGGGAAUAUUGCACAAUGGGCGGAAGCCUGAUGCAGCAACGCCGCGUGCGGGAUGACGGCCUUCGGGUUGUAAACCGCUUUCGCCUGUGACGAAGCGUGAGUGACGGUAAUGGGUAAAGAAGCACCGGCUAACUACGUG
rnacentral:rRNA from 1 species